rnacentral:rRNA from 1 species
CCCUUAGAUGUUCUGGGCCGCACGCGUGCUACACUGAUGCAUUCAACGAGUCUAAAACCUGGUCUGAUAGGGCUGGGUAAUCUUUUGAAAGUGCAUCGUGAUUGGGAUAGAUGAUUGCAGUUCUUCAUCUUCAACGAGGAAUGCCUAGUAAACGCAAGUCAUCAGCUUGCAUUGAUUACGUCCCUGCCCUUUGUACACACCGCCCGUCGCUCCUACCGAUUGAAUGAUCCGAUGAAUACCAUGGAUUGAGAGUACGAAUAGGUUCGCUUAUUUCUGCUGCUCGAGAAGUGGAGUAAAUCUUAUCAUUUAGAGGAAGGAGAAGUCGUAACA